rnacentral:lncRNA from 1 species
CUAUAACUACAGCUACUUCAAAAAUAUGUAGUCAGCUACAACUACUGCUACUUUUGAAGUUUGAACAAAGGUAGUUCGCUACUGACUACAGCUACUGCUUGAAAAAUGUAGCGAACUAUUUCGCUAUUUCGCUACUCUAUAUUUUUUAGUUUUACGGUAUUUGGAGCAUCCACUAGCUCAGGCUGUAAUAUAACCUAUAACAAAUCGAC